rnacentral:lncRNA from 1 species
CGGUCCAAUGCGGCAACUCACAAUCACACAUUUCCCAAAGCAAAAGGGAUAAAACACACAGGAAAAGAGAAAAUAAUGAGUAACUGUGAAACAAGCUUAGUCAUAAUCUGUAGUACCUUAUAUGUCAAGAUAACACCGAUAGACGAGAAACACUUCGAGAAAUUAUACGUUCACAAUCUCUGAGAGACAUUGAUGACCUAAAUUAAAGAAAAAGUGUUACUUGAUUUUCACCGAGACAGUCAAACUUUGUUUUUGUGCUUCAUCUAUUAUAUUACUGCGGUAUCAAUGGCUAAAAAGGUAAAAUGAUGAAGAAGUCAUACCAUUUUUGUAGUCUCAAGUUAUAUAAAAAAGAAAAAAAGAAGAAAGAAAAAAAGGGAAGCACAUUGUAGUUAGAACUUAGGAAGUCAUAGGUUCUCUCUCUCUUAUUUUCUUUUCAAUCCGCUAGGCAAAUGCCUAGGGCUAAAUUUUAUAAUAAUAAUAAAAAAACACAAAAAUAAUUACAUACUCUUGAGUUCUUACGAGAUUAGAGAAAUAAAAUUAGACAAUUAUAUUUAUCAUAUUACCAACGUUGAGUAGUAUACUUAGAUUUGAUAUCACAACUGAAGACUAUACUUAAAAUUUGGUGUCAAUCGUAUUAAUUGUACACUAACUUCAUACUUUGUCUACCAUACACUUGCAAUGGAUCAUUUCCUGCCUCCAGAGAAAGAGCACCAAGUAUUAAUAUCGAUAUACCCAUGUUUCAACUUGACAAUAGCAUCCAUGAAAUGACCAUGUGCGAGUAAAUCAUGAGAGGAGCUAUGAUUUAUCGUGAAAAUCCAAUUGAAAAUGUAGCCUCAAUCGACCAAACUUGCCACGCAUGCACGAUGAAGAAACGGUCGAAACUCAUUAGGAACAGCUUAGAAACUCAUGUCAUGAGAAGCAAAGCCAAAGAAAGUGCUCAAAAAUACUAGAUAACAAAAUGAGUAAAUCGUAUCUUUUUGGACUUUGGGUUGCAAAUGGCUAAUUCGGGCAUGUUUCACGUGCCCCAAUCU